rnacentral:rRNA from 1 species
UACGUAGGCGGAAAAUUAAGUCAGUAGUGAAAUCCUGCAGCUUAACUGUAGAACUGUUAUUGAUACUGGUUUUCUUGAAUAUAGUUGAGGUAGGCGGAAUGUGUAAUGUAGCGGUGAAAUGCUUAGAUAUUACACAGAACACCGAUUGCGAAGGCAGCUUACUAAGCUAUUAUUGACGCUGAGGCACGAAAGCGUGGGGAGCGAACAGGAUUAGAUACCCUGGUAGUCC